rnacentral:rRNA from 1 species
GAUAAACGCUGGCGGCGCACAUAAGACAUGCAAGUCGAACGGACUUAACCAUUAGUUUACUAUUGGAGCGGUUAGUGGCGGACUGGUGAGUAACACGUAAGCAACCUGCCUAUCAGAGGGGAACAACAGUUAGAAAUGACUGCUAAUACCGCAUAUGCCUAAGUACACAUGGUACAAUAGGGAAAGGAGCAAUCCGCUGAUAGAUGGGCUUGCGUCUGAUUAGAUAGUUGGUGGGGUAACGGCCUACCAAGUCGACGAUCAGUAGCCGGACUGAGAGGUUGAACGGCCACAUUGGGACUGAGAUACGGCCCAG